UACGUAGGGGGCAAGCGUUGUCCGGAAUCAUUGGGCGUAAAGCGCGCGUAGGCGGCCCGGUAAGUCCGCUGUAAAAGUCCAGGGCUCAACCCUGGAAAGCCGGUGGAUACUGUCGGGCUAGAGUCCGGAAGAGGCGAGUGGAAUUCCUGGUGUAGCGGUGAAAUGCGCAGAUAUCAGGAAGAACACCUAUGGCGAAGGCAGCACUCUGGGACGGUACUGACGCUGAGACGCGAAAGCGUGGGGAGCAAACAGG
rnacentral:rRNA from 1 species